GGGGGAUCGCAAGACCUCUCGCAGUCGGAGCGGCUGAUGUCAGAUUAGCUAGUUGGUGGGGUAAAGGCCCACCAAGGCGACGAUCUGUAGCGGGUCUGAGAGGAUGAUCCGCCACACUGGGACUGAGACACGGCCCAGACUCCUACGGGAGGCAGCAGUGGGGAAUUUUGGACAAUGGGCGCAAGCCUGAUCCAGCCAUGCCGCGUGCGGGACGAAGGCCUUCGGGUUGUAAACCGCUUUCAGCCGGAAAGAAAUCGCCGUUUUAAUACAGACGGUGGAUGACGGUACCGGAAGAAGAAGCACCGGCUAACUACGUG
rnacentral:rRNA from 1 species